CCCUUUGGGUGUGACUGCGUACCUUUUGUAUAAUGGGUCAGCGACUUAUAUUCUGUAGCAAGGUUAACCGAAUAGGGGAGCCGGAGGGAAACCGAGUCUUAAUUGGGCGUUAAGUUGCAGGGUAUAGACCCGAAACCCGGUGAUCUAGCCAUGGGCAGGUUGAAGGUUGGGUAACACUAACUGGAGGACCGAACCGACUAAUGUUGAAAAAUUAGCGGAUGACCUGUGGCUGGGGGUGAAAGGCCAAUCAAACCGGGAGAUAGCUGGUUCUCCCCGAAAGCUAUUUAGGUAGCGCCUCGUGAAUUCAUCUCCGGGGGUAGAGCACUGUUUCGGCUAGGGGGCCAUCCCGGCUUACCAACCCGAUGCAAACUGCGAAUACCGGAGAAUGUUAUCACGGGAGACACACGGCGGGUGCUAACGUCCGUCGUGAAGAGGGAAACAACCCAGACCGCCAGCUAAGGUCCCAAAGUCAUGGUUAAGUGGGAAACGAUGUGGGAAGGCCCAGACAGCCAGGAUGUUGGCUUAGAAGCAGCCAUCAUUUAAAGAAAGCGUAAUAGCUCACUGGUCGAGUCGGCCUGCGCGGAAGAUGUAACGGGGCUAAACCAUGCACCGAAGCUGCGGCAGCGACACUGUGUGUUGUUGGGUAGGGGAGCGUUCUGUAAGCCUGUGAAGGUGUGUCGUGAGGCAUGCUGGAGGUAUCAGAAGUGCGAAUGCUGACAUAAGUAACGAUAAAGCGGGUGAAAAGCCCGCUCGCCGGAAGACCAAGGGUUCCUGUCCAACGUUAAUCGGGGCAGGGUGAGUCGACCCCUAAGGCGAGGCCGAAAGGCGUAGUCGAUGGGAAACGGGUUAAUAUUCCCGUACUUGGUGUUACUGCGAAGGGGGGACGGAGAAGGCUAUGUUGGCCGGGCGACGGUU
rnacentral:rRNA from 1 species